UUUCUUAAGUUGCGGUCCUUUUGGCCCCUCAGGGACACUGUAGAGAUUCCUUGGUAGGAAUGUUGACAAUGCUGCCAGCCUGACUGCUCAUCACGGCUUUCAUUACCCGUUGAAGGUCUGGCUCCUGGGUGGGGUCCUCAUAGACGUCAAAACUAGCCAAGCUCCGAGAGCCAGUUAAAGUAGUUCUGGCAUGUGACAAGGAUUCCUUCUGGGCGUCUCCCAGGUGAGGUGUACUGGCCGUGUCCAACCAGGAGGAAGCCCUGGAUCAGACCCAGGACCUGAUGGAGUUCCCCUGGAUAAGCUGGAGGAGGUGGCUGUGGAGAGGGAGGACACCAGGAGAGAUGAGCAUAUCUAGCCCACAUCUGCAGAAACUGUACUUAAGAGAAGUUGGGACAAUGUUAAAGACUUCAGGCAAUUGCACUUGGAUUAUCUA